AACGAACGCUGGCGGCAUGCCUAACACAUGCAAGUCGAACGAGACCUUCGGGUCUAGUGGCGCACGGGUGCGUAACGCGUGGGAACCUGCCCUUAGGUUCGGAAUAACUCCCCGAAAGGGGUGCUAAUACCGGAUAAUGUCUUCGGACCAAAGAUUUAUCGCCUUUGGAUGGGCCCGCGUUGGAUUAGCUAGUUGGUAGGGUAAAAGCCUACCAAGGCGACGAUCCAUAGCUGGUCUGAGAGGAUGAUCAGCCACACUGGGACUGAGAUACGGCCCAGACUCCUACGGGAAGCAGCAGUGGGGAAUAUUGGACAAUGGGCGAAAGCCUGAUCCAGCAAUGCCGCGUGAGUGAUGAAGGCCUUAGGGUUGUAAAGCUCUUUUACCCGGGAUGAUAAUGACAGUACCGGGAGAAUAAGCUCCGGCUAACUCCGUG
rnacentral:rRNA from 1 species